rnacentral:lncRNA from 1 species
GGAGACGAAGUGCACGAGUUUGUCAUCGAAGCAUAACAAUCUACAAGGUGUGUCACUUCUAUAGCUGCUGUAUUUGGCAUAGUCGGAUUUACACCUGUACAAUUGUACCAUAAUCAUGUUGUAAAGAUUCAUUGGAUGCAUGUACGGUUGAACCGAUUUUGCAGUAAAAAAAACAGAAGCAGUAAUUUUGACGCUGUUCCAGUUUGUCAUCGAAGCAUAACAAUCUACAAGGUGUGUCACUUCUAUAGCUGCUGUAUUUGGCAUAGUCGGAUUUACACCUGUACAAUUGUACCAUAAUCAUGUUGUAAAGAUUCAUUGGAUGCAUGUACGGUUGAACCGAUUUUGCAGUAAAAAAAACAGAAGCAGUAAUUUUGACGCUGUUCCAGUUCUAUUUUUGUUAGUUGAACACUGUUUUUUUUCGAAUGUACGUCGCUUUCACUUCUAUAGCUGCUGUAUUUGGCAUAGUCGGAUUUACACCUGUACAAUUGUACCAUAAUCAUGUUGUAAAGAUUCAUUGGAUGCAUGUACGGUUGAACCGAUUUUGCAGUAAAAAAAACAGAAGCAGUAAUUUUGACGCUGUUCCAGUUCUAUUUUUGUUAGUUGAACACUG